rnacentral:rRNA from 1 species
CCUACGGGUGGCUGCAGUGAGGAAUAUUGGGCAAUGGGGGCAACCCUGACCCAGCCAUGCCGCGUGAGUGAAGAAGGUCUUCGGAUUGUAAAGCUCUUUCGGACGUGACGAUAAUGACGGUAGCGUCUAAAGAAGCACCGGCCAACUUCGUGCCAGCAGCCGCGGUAAUACGCAGGGUGCGAGCGUUAUUCGGAUUUACUGGGCGUAAAGGGAGUGUAGGCGGAUAUGUAAGAUAGCGGUGAAAUGCCGGGGCUCAACCCCGGAACUGCCAUUAUGACUAUGUAUCUAGAGUAAUGGAGAGGAAAGCGGAAUACCCAGUGUAGAGGUGAAAUGCGGAGAUAUGGGGUAGAACACCGGUGGCGAAGGCGGCUAUCUGGCCAGUAACUGACGCUGAGGCUCGAAAGCAUGGGGAUCAAACAGGAUUAGAUACCCCGGUAGUC